rnacentral:tRNA from 1 species
GCCAGCAUUUCCGCAGGUCAAAGACGCAUCCAGGGAAAACUCCUAAAGCGGGUGUCGCAGGUUCGAAUCCUGCCGGGGGCA